GAGAAAAGGCAACGGGAAAGGAAGCUCUGCGAACCCUAGAAGAAUAGGGGAGAGAAGCGUGUCUCGCAGAUACGAAAUGACGCGUUUGACCUUGUCAUUUUUGCUUUUUAAUUAGUUUUCUCUUGUUUGUUGGGCUGCCUCACCCCUCUCUCUCUCUGUCUCUGUCUCUCUCGGUGGCUGGCUGGGAAGAAUAUUGCAGUAGAUUGCGGGACAAAUAAUAAGAUUCUGAAACUUGCUCGUUGUUGUCAAAUUCUAAUCAAUUAGCUGUCAAGCUCCGCUUGGUUCCUUGAAUCUUAAAUUACAGCAUGGUUGCCGCUGCUGCUACUUCGUCGAUCUUUCCAGUUCCCUCUCCAUCUGCGGAUGCCAAGUCCACCAAGAUUGGCAGUGGAACUGCAAGUUUGGGAGGAAUCAAAUUGAAAUCUGCUUCUUCUGGGGGCUUGCAGGUCAAGGCAAAUGCCCAAGCCCCUCCCAAGAUAAAUGGAUCCCCAGUAGGCUUCACAACAACAUCUGUGGAAAAUGUGAAGAAUGAGGAUGACAUUCCUUCACCCCCGCCUAGGACCUUUAUCAACCAAUUACCUGA
rnacentral:misc_RNA from 1 species